rnacentral:lncRNA from 7 species
GUAUGGGGCUGACAGCAGUCAUCUUCCUCUUGGUGUUGGCAUCUAGACACCAGCCCACUGCAGGUGUUGGGCAUGAUCCAUUGCUUGUUGUGGAUGAUUAUGAGGAUGGUGGUAUUCGACUCAAAUGUUUAUCUGAAAGGUUGUUUUCUGAAGCUCAGCUGUUGUGGACAGACAGUAGAGGAGACAACAUCACAGGAACUCCUCUCUCUGCUGACACUGGCACUGCUGGUGUCAGCAGCUCCAUUGUUCUUAAAGCAGGAUCUGGGAACUCCAUGUCCUGCCGCAUUCUAGAUAAACAACUGAAAACAUCGACAGAAUCUUCAGUUGCCAUUGCAGGUAGGUAUGAGCUUCCAGUUUGUAGUGAGCUAAUGCAUGCAGACCAAAUUGCCCCAGGAGCACGUAUUUAUAGUGGUACAGAGUAAACAGUUUUCUUCCUUAAUUUUUUUAGUUGUUGGUUGGUUCAGAUUUUUGCUGCUGUUAUUUUUUGUUUUUCCUUUAAUCUGAACAGCCAUCAGCUUCCCCGUGUGAUAAAUUGUAAAAACAUAAACAACUAAAGCACAAAAAUAUCCUUCCAUGGGUGCGAUGUUGCAUGGGGAAAAUCAGCUCCUGUUAUCAGAUCGUUCCUAUUCUCAUUUUCAUGGGUGGGGAAGGCUACUCUUCCACCUCUCUCUCUUUCCCUUUCAUUUUCUUCCACUUCUUUUUCUAUUGCUAUAACACCUGAUGUUGUGGUUUAGACAAACCUCUGAUGACACACACACAAAGAAAAUAACUCAGGGAUAUAAAAGUCCUGGUGAACUGCUCCUUCGGGCGUCUAUGAAUGGAACUUAGAUCCAAAUUCAUUUUGUUUCACUUUAGACAUAUAAAAAAGUUUUUUGUUGUUGUUGUUGUUUGUUUGUUUGUUUGCACUCAAAGGAGUUCAACAGAUUUCUCCAAAAGUGAUUCAGAGUGUAGUAUGUGAAGUAAUGGUAAAUUAGCUGUUGUUGACAGAGAUGACUAGUUUAACUGGAACAUGGCUAACCUUAUUAUUAAUCAUAUUAUCCUUACUACUAGCAACAGCAGCAGCAGCAGUAUUUAUUAGUAUUUAUUUUUUUAUUCUGGGCUUACUAGUAAAAUUAAAUGUCGUUACAAUCUACUGCUACAGACAUACGGUGUACUACGCACGCAACACUUUUAGCACAAGCAGUUACCAACUCAGCUAUAUCUUUAGCCAUGUUCAAAGCUUUUAUAAGAGCCUGACCAUACAACUUUAAGACUUCACCAAGUAGAGCCACGAUCAUAUCUUGCUCUAGAUCAUGAUACUCUGAAGGUUGUUUCCAGGUUUAUGCUGAUGGUUUGCCUAGUUGAAAGUGACAACUAGGCUAUUAAAACCAGACAUGAGCAAUGAACAGAGGAUACAUCAACAGUUGGCUCUGCAAGAACAAUGAUAAUUGAUCUCUUGAAUAACUUGCAGAUGCCUUCUUUCCCUCCACCUCCCCUUGGCUGGCGGCAUUUGUUGUGAUCCUGCUCCUGAGCAUAUUCCUGGUCCUCGCUGCAAUUUAUAAAAUCAGAAGUAAGUUCCACUCAUAAUGCCAAAUGCAAUCUGGUUGAAAACAUUGCCAUUGUAUUCAUAAUUAUCUGGGGAGU